CGGGUGAGUAACGCGUGGGUAACCUGCCUUAUACAGGGGGAUAACAGUCAGAAAUGGCUGCUAAUACCGCAUAAGCGCACAGAGCUGCAUGGCUCAGUGUGAAAAACUCCGGUGGUAUAAGAUGGACCCGCGUUGGAUUAGCUUGUUGGCGGGGUAACGGCCCACCAAGGCGACGAUCCAUAGCCGGCCUGAGAGGGUGAACGGCCACAUUGGGACUGAGACACGGCCCAG
rnacentral:rRNA from 1 species